rnacentral:rRNA from 1 species
AGUGAACGCUGGCGGUAGGCCUAACACAUGCAAGUCGAACGGCAGCACAGGAGAGCUUGCUCUCUGGGUGGCGAGUGCCGGACGGGUGAGGAAUACAUCGGAAUCUACUUUUUCGUGGGGGAUAGCGUAGGGAAACUUACGCUAAUACCGCAUACGACCUACGGGUGAAAGCAGGGGAUCUUCGGACGUUGCGCGAUUGAACGUGCCGAUGUCGGAUGAGCUAGUUGGCGGGGUAAAGGCCCACAAAGGCGACGAUCCGUAGCUGGUCUGAGAGGAUGAUCAGCCACACUGGAACUGAGACACGGUCCAGACUCCUACGGGAGGCAGCAGUGGGGAAUAUUGGACAAUGGGCGCAAGCCUGAUCCAGCCAUACCGCGUGGGUGAAGAAGGCCUUCGGGUUGUAAAGCCCUUUUGUUGGGAAAGAAAUCCAGCUGGUUAAUACCCGGUUGGGAUGACGGUACCCAAAGAAUAAGCACCGGCUAACUUCGUGCCAGCCGCCGCCGUAA